rnacentral:rRNA from 1 species
UACGGGGGAUGCAAGCGUUAUCCGGAUUUAUUGGGUUUAAAGGGUGCGUAGGCUGUGAGGUAAGUCAGCGGUGAAAUGCCCCCGCUCAACGGGGUGAAGUGCCAUUGAUACUGCCUUGCUGGGAUGCGAAUGCCGUGGGAGGAAUGUGUGGUGUAGCGGUGAAAUGCAUAGAGAUCACACAGAACACCGAUUGCGAAGGCAUCUCACGAAUCCGCGAUUGACGCUGAUGCACGAAAGCGUGGGUAUCAAACAGG